CAACUUUCAACAAUGGAUCUCUUGGCUCUGGCAUCGAUGAAGAACGCAGCGAAAUGCGAUAAGUAGUGUGAAUUGCAGAAUUCAGUGAAUCAUCGAAUCUUUGAACGCACAUUGCGCCCUUUGGUAUUCCACUGGGCAUGCCUGUUCGAGCGUCAUUG
rnacentral:rRNA from 1 species